GAUCGGCCCCGAAACCAACCCGAACAGCCUCGAAACAACCCGGAGCAGCCCCGAAAGGUAACAGCCGGAUGGAAAUUCUUGAAGAUUCAUGCUGAAAAGAAAAACGUGUAGUAAAGGAAGAGAGACACGUGUAGCAAAGGAAGAGAGAAGGAUUGGGCUCAAAGUCUAUCUCCCACAAUUUUAUUCACUUUCAUUUGGACUCAUUUAUUUGUAUAGCCCAACCUGUAUCUUUUAUUUAUUUGAUUUAGUUCAUAGGACUAAAGUCAAAUUCGUAACAUAUAAACACUGAGCUCUAUUUAAUUGAGAAGCCCAAAAUAUUUACUUCA